GACGAACGCUGGCGGCGUGCCUAAUACAUGCAAGUUGAGCGAUGAAGAUUGGUGCUUGCACCAAUUUGAAGAGCAGCGAACGGGUGAGUAACGCGUGGGGAAUCUGCCUUUGAGCGGGGGACAACAUUUGGAAACGAAUGCUAAUACCGCAUAACAACUUUAAACAUAAGUUUUAAGUUUGAAAGAUGCAAUUGCAUCACUCAAAGAUGAUCCCGCGUUGUAUUAGCUAGUUGGUGAGGUAAAGGCUCACCAAGGCGAUGAUACAUAGCCGACCUGAGAGGGUGAUCGGCCACAGUGGGACUGAGACACGGCCCAAACUCCUACGGGAGGCAGCAGUAGGGAAUCUUCGGCAAUGGACGAAAGUCUGGCCGAGCAACGCCGCGUGAGUGAAGAAGGUUUUCGGAUCGUAAAACUCUGUUGGUAGAGAAGAACGUUGGUGAGAGUGGAAAGCUCAUCAAGUGACGGUAACUACCCAGAAAGGGACGGCUAACUACGUG
rnacentral:rRNA from 1 species